rnacentral:siRNA from 1 species
UAUGCAUAAAGAUAUAGAAUGG